rnacentral:rRNA from 1 species
CCCCGGGAAACUGGGAAUAAUACCCUAUAGGUUACAGGUGCUGGAAUGCUCUGUAACCGAAAGUUCCGGCGCCUUAGGAUGGAUCUGCGGCCGAUUAGGUUGUUGUUGGGGUAACGGCCCAACAAGCCAGUAAUCGGUACGGGUUGUGGGAGCAAGAGCCCGGAGUUGGAUUCUGAGACACGAAUCCAGGCCCUACGGGGCGCAGCAGGCGCGAAAACUUUACAAUGCGGGCAACCGUGAUAAGGGAACCUCGAGUGCCUGUAUAUGCAGGCUGUCUGGGUGUCUAAAACACACCCAAAGAAAGGGCCGGGCAAGACCGGUGCCAGCCGCCGCGGUAAUACCGGCGGCUCGAGUGGUGGCCACUUUUAUUGGGCUUAAAGCGUUCGUAGCUGGGUUGUUAAGUCUCUUGGGAAAUCUGACGGCUUAACCGUCAGGCGUCUAAGAGAUACUGGCAAUCUUGGAACCGGGAGAGGUGAGGGGUACUUCGGGGGUAGGAGUGAAAUCCUGUAAUCCUCGAGGGACCACCUGUGGCGAAGGCGCCUCACCAGAACGGCUUCGACAGUGAGGGACGAAAGCUGGGGGAGCAAACCGGAUUAGAUACCCGGGUAGUCCCAGCCGUAAACGAUGUGCGUUAGGUGUAUCGGUGACCACGAGUCACCGAGGUGCCGAAGGGAAACCGUGAAACGUACCGCCUGGGGAGUACGGUCGCAAGGCUGAAACUUAAAGGA